rnacentral:rRNA from 1 species
CUACGGGGUGCUGCAGUGGGGAAUAUUGCACAAUGGGCGCAAGCCUGAUGCAGCCAUGCCGCGUGUAUGAAGAAGGCCUUCGGGUUGUAAAGUACUUUCAGCGGGGAGGAAGGGAGUAAAGUUAAUACCUUUGCUUAUUGACGUUACCCGCAGAAGAAGCACCGGCUAACUCCGUGCCAGCAGCCGCGGUAAUACGGAGGGUGCAAGCGUUAAUCGGAAUUACUGGGCGUAAAGCGCACGCAGGCGGUUUGUUAAGUCAGAUGUGAAAUCCCCGGGCUCAACCUGGGAACUGCAUCUGAUACUGGCAAGCUUGAGUCUCGUAGAGGGGGGUAGAAUUCCAGGUGUAGCGGUGAAAUGCGUAGAGAUCUGGAGGAAUACCGGUGGCGAAGGCGGCCCCCUGGACGAAGACUGACGCUCAGGUGCGAAAGCGUAGGGAGCAAGCAGGAUUAGAUACCCCCGUAGUC